AGCAGCCGCGGUAAUUCCAGCUCCAAUAGCGUAUAUUAAAGUUGUUGCAGUUAAAAAGCUCGUAGUUGAAUUUCGGGAUCAAUAUGUUGGUCGUGCCUUGGUACGUACUAAUUUAUUGGUUUCUUCCUUCUGACGAACCAUGAUGUCAUUAAUUUGGUGUCUUGAGGAAUCAGGACUGUUACUUUGAAAAAAUUAGAGUGUUUAAAGCAGGCUCACGCUUGAAUACAUUAGCAUGGGAUAAUGAAAUAGGACGUUUGAUUCUAUUUUGUUGGUUUCUAGGAUCGACGUAAUGAUUAAUAGGGAUAGUUGGGGGCAUUAGUAUUCAAUUGUCAGAGGUGAAAUUCUUGGAUUUAUUGAAGACUAACUACUGCGAAAGCAUUUGCCAAGGAUGUUUUCAUUAAUCAAGACGAAAGUUAGGGGAUCGAAGACGAUCAGAUACCGUCGUAGUCUUAACCAUAAACUAUGCCGACUAGGGAUCGGAUGAUGUUAAUUUUUAAUGACUCAUUCGGCGCCUUAC
rnacentral:rRNA from 1 species